rnacentral:lncRNA from 1 species
GCAAGGUCUUUAUGUGGCAGGUGAAGUUGCAUGUACUGGUUUACAUGGUGCUAACCGACUUGCUAGCAACUCGUUGCUUGAAGCACUAGUGUUUGCACGAAGAGCUGUACAACCUUCAAUUGAUCACGUGAAUGGAACCGACUUGCCAGCAACUCGUUGCUUGAGGCACUAGUGUUUGCACGAAGAGCUGUACAACCUUCAAUUGAUCACGUGAAUGUGUCUAGAAUUGAUCACGGUGCUUCAAGUUGGUGGCCGCGACCUGGAGCCCCAGUGGUAUUAGGAGAUACAGUACUUAACAAAGUCAUUCGUCG